rnacentral:rRNA from 1 species
AGAGUUUGAUCAUGGCUCAGAACGAACGUUGGCGGCGUGGAUUAGGCAUGCAAGUCGAACGAAUCCCGUGGGGGUAACUCCGCGGGGGAAGUGGCGAAAGGGGCAGUAAGGCGUGGGUAACUUGCCCUGGAGUUCAGCAUAGCCUUCCUAACGGAAGGGUAAUCCUGAAUGCCGUGCUCGGAGGGCCUCCUCUGAACACGAAAGCUCUGGCGCUCCGGGAGAGGCUCACGUGGUAUUAGCUUGUUGGUGGGGUAACGGCCCACCAAGGCCAAGAUGCCUAGCAGGUGUGAGAGCACGACCUGCGUCCCUGGCACUGAGACACUGGCCAGACUCCUACGGGAGGCUGCAGUCGAGGAUCUUCGGCAAUGGGCGCAAGCCUGACCGAGCGACGCCGCGUGGGCGAUGAAGGCCUUCGGGUUGUAAAGCACUGUCGUGGGGAAGAAAGCCCGCAAGGGUUGAUCGACCUCAGGAGGAAGCACGGGCUAAGUUCGUGCCAGCAGCCGCGGUAAUUC